rnacentral:tRNA from 1 species
GGAGGGGUGACCGAGUGGCCGAUGGUGCACGCUUGGAAAGCGUGUGUAGGGAAACCUACCGUGGGUUCGAAUCCCACCCUCUCCG